rnacentral:rRNA from 1 species
UACGGGGGGAGCAAGCGUUGUUCGGAUUUACUGGGCGUAAAGGGCGCGUAGGCGGUCAGCACAAGUCAGUUGUGAAAUCUCCGGGCUUAACUCGGAAAGGUCAACUGAUACUGUGCGACUAGAGUGCAGAAGGGGCAACUGGAAUUCUCGGUGUAGCGGUGAAAUGCGUAGAGAUGUGGAGGAACACCGGUGGCGAAGGCGGCCUGCUGGGCAGUAGCUGACGCUGAGGCGCGACAGCGUGGGGAGCAAACAGG